CUGUGGUUGAAAUUAUUUAAUCUGACUCUUCUCAGAGUGAACAGUUGUACAAUGGAUCUUCAUUCAUUUAUUCUGUUCUGUGCCUCAACCGCUUCUGUCUUUGGGAAUGUCAUUAAACCAAACAAAACAGAUGUUUUUGCUGAGGAGGGUUCAAGUGUUACAUUGUCUUGUAGUUAUUCUGCAUCUGGAGGUACAGAUUAUCUCCACUGGUAUCGUCAGUAUGAAAGAUCAAAACCAGAAUUUCUUGUACUGACCUACAGUGGUGUAAAAGGAGCUAAAGAGUCUGAUGUAGAUCCAAGAUUCACUGUUAACAUUACAAAAAGGGAACAUGUGGAUCUGAUCAUCUCCUCUGCUGCUGUAUCAGACUCUGCUCUCUUCUACUGUGCUCUGCAGCCCACACUGACAGGAAACACAUCAGCUCUCUACAAAAACCUGUUACAAUGAGAGACAGCAGAGAAACAGAGACAGAGAGAAAAAUUGUAACAAAGAAGCUAGUAUACAAAUAUUUCAAUAAUCUAAUGCAAAAAGGAUCAAAACAAAGCAAAAAUCUACAUUCUAAAGUGAGUCAAAUUAUGUUUAAUUUGUUAAUUAGGGAGGUCGUGGCCUAGUGGUUAGAGAGUUUUACUCCUAACCCUUAGGUUGUGGGUUUGAGUCUCCGGUCAGCAAUACCACGACUGAGGUGCCCUUGAGCAAGGCACCAAACCCCACCUGCUCCCCGGGCGCCACAGCAUAAAUGGCUUCCCACUGCUCCGGGUGUGUGUUCACUGCUGUGUGUGUGUGUGUGUGUGUGUGGAUGGGUUAAAUGCAGAGUACGAAUUCUGAGUAUGGGUCACCAUAUUUGGCUGU